GUUCAUGUUAGUUGCAUUUACUAAUGUUUACUAAUACAACCUUAAAGGGUGAUUCUCGCGAAAUUAGACUUAUGAGGUGUCAUGAAACAUUUUGAUUAAAAAAGUGCCAUCAAAAUAAGAAGCAUACAGUUACAAACAUCUCUUCAUGUACUUUUUUGCACAUGAUUUCAAAUGACAUCAUACAAACCAAUUUUGUUGUUUUUUCCCACAUUUAAGGGAAACAUUUUCAUUACUGCAACGUGUCCAUGACUGGAUUUGGGUUCUUUGACAUGGAAAUAUUUAUAAUUAAAAAUCUAAAAAAAUCAAAAGCUUCAGUGCAUGUUAUACUAUAAACAUUUACAGUAAAGAAAUAUGUGGUAUUUGGUGAUCAUUGGUAAAUGUAGAGACAAUAAUAAGGAAUAUAAAUGUGUCCAAAACCAAUUUUCUCAACCUCCGCAACAAGUUUCAAUCAUUGUUUAAGGAACUAACAUUUACAAAAAAAUAGUUGGGACAUAUUUGACUGUGACACUCAAGAUGGCUACCAGCUCAAGGACAAGACCUUGAAGUGCCAUGAUUUCUUCUUCCACAUCCUGCGGUCAGGAAACACAUUACUAACUCAUCACAAGGAAAUAAGAGCAUGUCACUCAUCACCAGGAACUACUGUAACAACACUGCCAACAACAAGAUACAACACACUAAAUGUCUUGCAUAUAUUCAUUCAAAUAUAUAGUAACCAAUGUCUUCAAAUAUAAUGUUUUCUAAAUAGAAAAACUUUUAAUCUGGCCUUUUUUCAUUCUGGCUAUUUUUAAGACACCUUAAUAGUUAUAAAAAUUGGACAUUUAGUAAACCAUGACAUUAAAUGUUAUGAGAUUUGUAUGGUAUAGUAAAUGUGAUCUCAAUGAUUGACAAACAUAAAGAGUCCCCCUGACAUUUAUUAUAUACUCAGAUUUAGUAAA